GAUGAAGAACGUAGCGAAAUGCGAUAAGUAAUGUGAAUUGCAGAAUUCAGUGAAUCAUCGAAUCUUUGAACGCACAUUGCUCCCGCCAGUAUUCUGGCGGGCAUGCCUGUUCGAGCGUCAUUUCAACCAUCAAGCCCCAGGCUUGUGUUGGGGACCUGCGGCUGCCGCAGGCCCUGAAAACCAGUGGCGGGCUCGCUGUCACACCGGGCGUAGUAGAUUUUAUCUCGCUCAGGGCGUGCUGCGGGUUCCGGCCGUUAAAAAGCCUUUUUUACCCAAGGUUGACCUCGGAUCAGGUAGGAAGACCCGCUGAACUUAAGCAUAUCAAUAAGCGGAGGA
rnacentral:misc_RNA from 1 species